ACGAACGCUGGCGGCGUGCCUAAUACAUGCAAGUAGAACGCUGAAGAGAGGAGCUUGCUCUUCUUGGAUGAGUUGCGAACGGGUGAGUAACGCGUAGGUAACCUGCCUUGUAGCGGGGGAUAACUAUUGGAAACGAUAGCUAAUACCGCAUAACAAUGGAUGACACAUGUCAUUUAUUUGAAAGGGGCAAUUGCUCCACUACAAGAUGGACCUGCGUUGUAUUAGCUAGUAGGUGAGGUAAUGGCUCACCUAGGCGACGAUACAUAGCCGACCUGAGAGGGUGGUCGGCCACACUGGGACUGGGAAACGGCCCAGACCCCUACGGGAGGCAGCAGUAGGGAAUCUUCGGCAAUUGGGGCAACCCUGACCGAGGAACGCCGCGUGAGUGAAGAAGGGUUUCGGAUCGGAAAGCUCUGUUGUAAGUCAAGAACGGGUGUGAGAGUGGAAAGUUCACACUGUGACGGUAGCUUACCAGAAAGGGACGGCUAGCUACGUG
rnacentral:rRNA from 1 species